UACGUAGGUGACCAGCGUUGUCCGGAUUUACUGGGCGUAAAGAGCGCGCAGGCGGUCGUUCAAGUCGAGUGUGAAAGCCCCCGGCUCAACUGGGGAGGGUCAUUCGAUACUGAUCGACUUGAAGGCAGGAGAGGGAAGCGGAAUUCCCGGUGUAGUGGUGAAAUGCGUAGAUAUCGGGAGGAACACCAGUGGCGAAGGCGGCUUCCUGGCCUGUUCUUGACGCUGAGGCGCGAAGGCGUGGGGAGCGAACGGG
rnacentral:rRNA from 1 species